GAUUAUUUACAUGGAGUCUGGUGUAGUCUAUCUCUGUAGGGAUCCAUCCCAUAAUGUUGUCAGACACUUAGAAUAAUAAUCUGAGUCUGUCAGCAGCAACAACAAAACUUUUAGUGGAUGCUAACUGAUGCUAAACAUUU